UGAUUUUGUAUUGAAAGGAUUUCUGGCGAAAAGCGACCGUGAUUCAAGGUAGUCUCUUGUAGUUGCACUUUAUUAGGAACUAUAGUUAUCUGUAUCUAAUGCCCCUAUCCUUCAUAUGUUAGAUAAAGGUGGUUGGGGGAGCGAGGCUUUUGUUCUUGAAAUGGUAAAAUCUGCAGGAAAUUUGUUUGUGGGCA